CACUUUCAACAACGGAUCUCUUGGUUCUCGCAUCGAUGAAGAACGUAGCGAAAUGCGAUAUGUAGUGUGAAUUGCAGAUGUGAAUCAUCGAAUUUUUGAACGCAAAUUGCACUCUCUGGUAUUCCGGGGAGUAUGCCUGUUUGAGGGUCGUCC
rnacentral:rRNA from 1 species